UGGAUCACCUCCUAACAGGGAGACAACAACUGAUCGUGAUGUCUGAGUACUUUAUUCUCAGGCCAUGAUCCUGUCAUCUCGAAGGUCGAUCGGUACCUCAAUUUCAAGCCUAGUAGCACUUGAGCAAUCAAGCUGUUGACUGAGGAUUUGAUCUUUAGUUCCUAAACGUUGUCUAGGUCACCCCAUAGAGGGUUCACUUCCUGGGCCAUUAGCUCAGGUGGUUAGAGCGCACCCCUGAUAAGGGUGAGGUCCCUGGUUCAAGUCCAGGAUGGCCCAUUCAAACCAUGAUCAACUCCAAUGCCUUUAGGUUCAUCCUGUGGGUGUGGAGACGAGAGAGGUCUUGGGGGUUUAGCUCAGUUGGUAGAGCGCCUGCUUUGCAAGCAGGAUGUCAGCGGUUCGAGUCCGCUAACCUCCACUAACAUCUGAACUCCAAACCAGGAAGCGAUUCUUGGGAGGUGACUAGACGUUGUUCGCUGAUCGAGUUCAGCCUCAGAUCAUCUCCUCAACCUGAUCAUUCAUGAAUCAGGUUCAAUGGAUUGAUCUGAUGCUGGAUUCAGCAGAGGUGGCUGCAAGGUCAUUUUUGUUUGAGUUUCAGCAGAACCUUGACAACUGCAUAGGUGAGUCUGGAAAGACAAAGCAUCUCAUAGAGGCUGGUUCAAUGAACCAGUGAUUCUAUUUUUGAGAGCCGAGACCUUCUAGCGUUCUUCCCAAUCCGCCGAGGUGCGGGGAGUCUGAUCCUUGUUUCUAUGAUCUCAGUAAUGAGUUCUUAGAAACUCGAGAGAAUAGGCCUCAACAGCCUGAAGCGUUAGGAGGAUGAAUUGGUCAAGCUACAAAGGGCUCACGGUGGAUACCUUGGCACACAGAGGCGAUGAAGG
rnacentral:tRNA from 1 species